rnacentral:rRNA from 1 species
GAGUGAACGCUGGCGGUAGGCCUAACACAUGCAAGUCGAACGGCAGCACAGUAAGAGCUUGCUCUUACGGGUGGCGAGUGGCGGACGGGUGAGGAAUACAUCGGAAUCUACUUUUUCGUGGGGGAUAACGUAGGGAAACUUACGCUAAUACCGCAUACGACCUACGGGUGAAAGCAGGGGAUCUUCGGACCUUGCGCGAUUGAAUGAGCCGAUGUCGGAUUAGCUAGUUGGCGGGGUAAAGGCCCACCAAGGCGACGAUCCGUAGCUGGUCUGAGAGGAUGAUCAGCCACACUGGAACUGAGACACGGUCCAGACUCCUACGGGAGGCAGCAGUGGGGAAUAUUGGACAAUGGGCGCAAGCCUGAUCCAGCCAUACCGCGUGGGUGAAGAAGGCCUUCGGGUCGUAAAGCCCUUUUGUUGGGAAAGAAAAGCAGCAGGUUAAUACCCCGCUGUUCUGACGGUACCCAAAGAAUAAGCACCGGCUAACUUCGUG